rnacentral:rRNA from 1 species
CCUACGGGUGGCAGCAGUGAGGAAUAUUGGUCAAUGGCCGGAAGGCUGAACCAGCCAUGCCGCGUGAAGGUCAGUGCCCUAUGGGCGUUAAACUUCUUUUGUGCGGGAGCAAUAAUGGUCACGUGUGGCCAGACGAGAGUACCGUACGAAUAAGCCUCGGCUAACUCCGUGCCAGCAGCCGCGGUAAUACGGGGGAUGCAAGCGUUAUCCGGAUUUAUUGGGUUUAAAGGGUGCGUAGGCUGGGAGGUAAGUCAGCGGUGAAAUGCCCCCGCUCAACGGGGUGAAGUGCCAUUGAUACUGGCUGGCUGGAAUGCGGAUGCCGUGGGAGGAAUGUGUGGUGUAGCGGUGAAAUGCAUAGAUAUCACACAGAACACCGAUUGCGAAGGCAUCUCACGAAUCCGCGAUUGACGCUGAUGCACGAAAGCGUGGGUAUCAAACAGGAUUAGAUACCCCGGUAGUC